rnacentral:rRNA from 1 species
UACGUAGGGUGCGAGCGUUAAUCGGAAUUACUGGGCGUAAAGGGCUCGUAGGCGGCCAACUAAGUCCGACGUGAAAUCCCCAAGCUUAACUUGGGAACUGCGUCGGAUACUGGAUGGCUUGAAUUCGGGAGAGGGAUGCAGAAUUCCAGGUGUAGCGGUGAAAUGCGUAGAUAUCUGGAGGAAUACCGGUGGCGAAGGCGGCAUCCUGGACCGACAUUGACGCUGAGGAGCGAAAGCUAGGGGAGCGAAAGGG